rnacentral:rRNA from 1 species
AGUAACGCGUAGGUAACCUACCUCAUAGCGGGGGAUAACUAUUGGAAACGAUAGCUAAUACCGCAUAAGAGAGACUAACGCAUGUUAGUAAUUUAAAAGGGCAAUUGCUCCACUAUGAGAUGGACCUGCGUUGUAUUAGCUAGUUGGUGAGGUAAAGGCUCACCAAGGCGACGAUACAUAGCCGACCUGAGAGGGUGAUCGGCCACACUGGGACUGAGACACGGCCCAG